rnacentral:RNase_P_RNA from 1 species
CUGGAUAAUUGCUGAUAUUUUAUAUUAGAGGAAAGUCCAUGCUCGCACUAGCUGAGAUGCUAGUAGUGUUUGUGCUAGAUGAAAAAAUAAAUCUAGGUAUAUGGGAGCAUAUAACGGCAAGACAACACCUAAGUCAAUUGAUAUGGUUUAGUCUUUGAAAGUGCCACAGUGACGUAGUUUAUUGGAAACAAUAAAGUGGAACGCGGUAAACCCCACAAGCGAGAAACCCAAAUUUGGUAGGGGAAGUAGAGAAAAAGAAUUCAAUUUUUCUAGACAUGCAUUUGCAUAGAUAAAUAGUUAUCCUAGACAGAACAUGGCUUACAA